rnacentral:lncRNA from 1 species
CACCGUAGACCUUGCUGUGGGCUCAAUGUAGACUGAAUUUUGAGAUGUCAAAUCCUAACAAUCUCUAUCUCGAUUCGAUAUUCAGCCUCCUCCUAACUCUGAGAGCUUCUGCAUCUCCUCACCCCCAUGCCCUAGGGCAAUCGCCUGCUGAUCCUGAAUGGGCAAAUAUGAGAGUCGAGCCAGGCCGCUCGAUCCCAUCUCCGUUGUAUGCUGUGCUCCUCCUAACCUA